rnacentral:rRNA from 1 species
GACGAACGCUGGCGGCGUGCUUAACACAUGCAAGUCGAACGGAAAGGCCCUUCGGGGUACUCGAGUGGCGAACGGGGGAGUAACACGUGGGUGAACUGCCCUGCACUUUGGGAUAAGCGUGGGAAACUGGGUCUAAUACCGAAUAGGACCACGCGCUUCAUGGUGUGUGGGGGAAAGCUUUUGCGGAGUGGGAUGGGCCCGCGGCCUAUCAGCUUGUUGGUGGGGUAAUGGCCUACCAAGGCGACGACGGGUAGCCGGCCUGAGAGGGUGACCGGCCACACUGGGACUGAGAUACGGCCCAGACUCCUACGGGAGGCAGCAGUGGGGAAUAUUGCACAAUGGGCGCAAGCCUGAUGCAGCGACGCCGCGUGAGGGAUGACGGCCUUCGGGUUGUAAACCUCUUUCACCAGGGACGAAGCGUAAGUGACGGUACCUGGAGAAGAAGCACCGGCCAACUACGUG